GUCCACGCCCUAAACGAUGACAACUAGUUGUUGGGGAUUUAACAUCCUUAGUAACGUAGCUAACGCGUGAAGUUGUCCGCCUGGGGAGUACGGUCGCAAGAUUAAAACUCAAAGGAAUUGACGGGGCCCGCACAAGCGGUGGAUGAUGUGGUUUAAUUCGAUGCAACGCGUAAACCUUACCUACCCUUGACAUGCCAGGGAGUCCGAUGAGAGUUGGAUGUGCCCGAAAGGGAACCUGGACACAGGUGCUGCAUGGCUGUCGU
rnacentral:rRNA from 1 species